rnacentral:misc_RNA from 1 species
CGUCAUGCAACCUUUAAUAGUUUUGUUUGUUCAAAAUCUAUUUUUUAGUUUAGGUAGUACACACUGAUAUAGUCUGAUGACGGAGUUGUUAUUACAAAACAUGAGUCAUCCAACUUUGAGUGGUAGCAAGUUGAAGACACAUUUCACAACAACUGCUUUAUUUUUACCAGUUAUGACAGCACCAACCUCAGCAGCAGAUCUGGUCAGCUUGUUUGAAUGUCCUGUCUGUUUUGAGUUUGUUCUGCCUCCUAUUCUUCAGUGCCAAAAUGGACAUCUUGUGUGUUCAACUUGCCGGCAGAAAAUCACUUGUUGCCCAACAUGUAGGGCACCAAUUGGUAAUAUCAGGAAUUUGGCUAUGGAAAAGGUGGCCAGUACAGUUAUGUUCCCUUGCAAAUAUUUUGCUUCUGGAUGCAAUGCUCAACUGUUACAUACAGAUAAACAGGACCAUGAAGAAAUAUGUGAAUUUAGACCGUAUUCUUGUCCUUGUCCUGGAGCAUCAUGUAAGUGGCAAGGGUCUCUUGAACAAGUAAUGACUCAUCUCUUAGCAGUCCACAAAUCUAUUACCACUUUAAAAGGUGAAGAUAUUGUGUUCCUGGCUACUGAUAUAAACUUGCCUGGUGCUGUUGACUGGGUGAUGAUGCAAUCUUGCUUUGGUCAUCACUUCAUGUUGGUCCUUGAAAAACAAGAGAAAUAUGAUGGCCAUCAACAAUUCUUUGCAAUUGUUCAACUGAUUGGUACCAGAAAACAAGCAGAAAAUUUUAUCUAUAGGUUGGAACUAAGUGGUCAUAGGAGAAGGUUAACAUGGGAGGCAACUCCAAGAAGUAUUCAUGAUGGGGUCCAGUCAGCCAUCAUGAAUAGUGAUUGUUUGGUUUUUGACACUAGCAUAGCCAAACUCUUUGCUGAUAAUGGCAACUUGGGAAUCAACGUCACUAUCAACCUGUGCUGAAUCGUUUAUAGUGUUUACUGUACAUUCAAGACAGUCAUGUAACAUCACUUAAUGUUCCAGUACAACCCAGGGUUCAAGAUCUCUGGCUGUGUUUGUAUAUUCAGUAUGCAACACUGCUGUUCUCGUGCAGUUUAUUGUGAUACCAGGAGUAGUACUAUAAGUUACAGUUAUUCUCCAAGAAGGCAAGCAAAUUCCCCAGGAUUUGUUCUUGAGCUCUUCAUUAUUAUUUCAUACUGAUAAAAAAAAGACUGAAACACUAUGCAAAAUAGACCUAAAAUUCGUGAAAUCAUGCAGUCAGGCACAAUAAAAACAAGGAUAGAUUGUAUGAGUUCGAUAAGGAAAAUAUGUCGACCAGCACUGAAAGGAAAGGACUUUUGAAUUGAAGCAGUCAGACCUAGGGGCUUGUCUCUGUAUGCCUUGCCUAUUAUCAUAUAUAUAACAUUGUUAGAGGAAGAAGUUACAAGAUGCAUUCUUUCCACUGUUAUUGAAACUUUUUAAAGUCGUCGUCGUAAGUAUUUGAAGAUAAACUAGCUUGUAAAAAUAUUCUAAAUCAUACGUUAUCCAAAUUGAGUAUUUUUACACCUGACCUCUUGCUGUUAGGGUUUUUAGAAAGGGUUGGUGUUCUCUUACACUUCCCAACAUGAUUUUAUGUGUUGGGGUUUGUAUAUAUAUGUGUCUGUAGAUAUACACACAACUUUCAAUAAAUUCUUCAGUGAUGAUAAAGGUAAGAUUAUCCUAAGAAAGGGGUGUGACAAUUUUUUUUUCACUUUUGGAUUGUUCAUUUGGCCAAUCUAUUAAAGUACUGUGAAUUCUAUAUUGUAAAUAAUAUACAAGGUAUAAUGUUAAUUUCAGGGUCUUGGAACCAGGUUUCAAAGACCUUUACAUAUCUAAUAAAUUCAAAUACUUUAUAAUCACAUCAUUUUAUUGUUUAUUUGUCUCUAUAUUAUUAUUAUCCAACUGUAUUAUGUUACUGACAGUGUAUUGCAUUAUUAAUGUGUAACAUUAAAAUGUUUUAACAGUUAGUGGAAUGCGGCAUCUAUCUCACGUACGUUAUAGUUUAUUGUUUUUCAUUACUUGUUUUUAAGGGUUUCAAAAUGCGUACUACAAGCAAGUAACAUGGGCAAAAACUGCUCGUAUCUUUGAAAAAUUCCGCAAUGUACAACUCAAAAAUAUUCUAUAUGAAAUAAAACUUUUCUUUUUUUUGCCACGUUAAUAUUUAAACCUGUGCAUCCACGGGCUGACUUAGUUUAAUGCUAAUUAAUAUGGGGAUGGUAAAAAAAGGGGUAUACAGUUUUUUUUGUUUUUUUUACUCGAUAGAAAUAAAAAAACACCGACGUGUAUUAGUAAAAUACAAUUCAAUCAAUAUAUUUCCUCGAUGACUUUAUAGAUGGCGGUAGUUUUAUGUAGAGCAUUGAUAUUGCAGACAGUUCAUUUUUGUGUUCUAUGUAUUGUUAUAUCAUAAACAAUUAAUAUAUGUUAUGUAAAAAUUAUAGAAAGUAUAAUCAAACAGCCUUAUCGUUAGUUCUUUGGCCUGGUUUUUUAAUUGUCAAAAAAAUAAAGACAAUACUUUAUUAUUAUUUUGUUGGGUCAGGUGUUACGUAGUAGUUAGAGUACCGGACUUUGAAACCAGGGUUCAUGGUGUACAUCCCAUUACCUCAGAAUCGCGCUCCGCACUUUGGGGCGGUGGGCAAGUUAACGAAUGUCAGUCAAAUCCCACUAUUUGAUUAUAAUAGCCAAAGAGUUGCGGUGUGUGCUGUUCUUUUAGUCUAUCAGUUCAAAGGAAGGAACGGCUGUGUGCAGAUAGCCGUUGUGUAGCUUAGUACUAAGCCUUGUAGGGACUUCGGUAAAUUUACGGACUUACAAUGCUAAGAUCUGGGAUUUAAUUUCUUAAUGUAGACAGAGUGCAGACAGCCCGUUGUGAAGUUUUGUACCAAGAACAAACAAAACUUAUGGUUUAGAAAUUUCAUUUUAUCCAAAGUAUCUAUUAAUGUAUUUUUUACUGGUAUAUAAUAUAUAUUUUUUAAAAGCAAAAUUCCAGUAAUUAAAAUAUUGAUUAAGCAGUAACGUUUAUCCUAUUCCCAUACUGUUAAGUUGAAAAACUUACUUUGUUUUUCUUGGUAUUAAGUAGCAGUGCAGUGACGAGGUUCGAGCACGUGCAUUCAUAUAGUGUGGUUAAAACUGUUACAAUUCUGUUUUUACUUGGUGGAAAUUUCUACUAAAUGUUCAUGUACUUCAAUGAUAUAAAUUUUACUUAACUCCUUUUUUACUCUUUUUACAACCCUCAUGAUUUCCACCCAAACUCUCACUUGAACUGAAAGAGAUCUAAAAGUAACAUCUGCCCACCCUUAUCUUUUGUAUCACUCACAAAUAGUUUCUGGAAGAGGAACAAGCAAGAAAAUGGAACUGAAGUUUUUAAGUAUGCUCUAAGAUUAGUAACAUGUUUUACCUUUCUUAGAGGUAAAUGUACCGUGUAGGUUGGUUUUUGUUAAUGUUAUUUCAGUACUGUUGAAAGAAGAUAGUUUCUGCAAACCCCCUCCCAAUCAUACCACCACUGAAACAUCUGAAGUAAUUCACGUGCUAGAUCAACAAAUUACGAAGUGUCACCAUGGUGACCACAGACCUGUAAUAUUCGCCCAUAAUACCUUUUACUUUGUACUAUCCUUUUCGUCUGGGUUUGCACUUUCCAUGCCCUUUAAAAACCCUCAUUACAUCAGUGUUUACGUUCUUUGUCACACCCGAAACUCUCCGUUACUUGAGUAUGUACAGCCUUCACAAAAUCUUUAAAACUUUUCCAAGUAAAGUACCUAUCAAAAUAUAAUUUAACAAAAAGGUGUUUCAUCUGUCUCAAUCCAGUGAUUUUCUAUAAUUUUACAGAUACAGCAGUUUUUAAAAAUAUAAAAUUGGAUUUAUGUUGGAACUUGGUACCAUGGUUUAAAAAGUUGUAUACCGGUUCCAUUAAGUACUUGGAAGUGUAUGGGAUAAAAAUCUUAGUUAAGUGCUACUUUAUUAUGAAAUCAGUGUGACAUAAAAACACGACACGUUACUGGAUGAUGUAAUAUUUAUAUAAAGAACCUCAAUGAACAGUGACCAAUAACUAAUUUCACCUAUCCUUAUAAAUCAUAGGUCUUAUAGGUGCCUUCCAAGGUCAAAUUUGUUAUUUUGUUACUCCUCAAUACUUUAAUUGGAAGCAGAGAAAGUGUUAAGAGUUCUUGUUGGUUGGCGAGAAUAUACUUCACGAGUUAUCUAAGACCUUGAAGUAUUCUUGGAAUUAAUAAAGGUUAAAAGUUAAUAUGCACGAAAGUAAUAUUACACAAGUUACGACCUCUAGAAUUAUUGCACUCUCACACUUGGCUGUCAGGCGCUACAAGAUAAUCAUCGAACUUACAAUAAGCUUUUCUUCUGAUGAUGAUGCAUUAUUGCCAAUUUCAUUAAACGGUCUAAGACGUUAUUGAAGACUAGGAUUACGUUUUCGAUGACUGGGGUGAUAUUUUAACUAUCGUGGCUUAGUAAAUACAUUUCUGAGUCACAUCCUAGACUUGUUCUGUCGAUUUCAAAGCAAGGGCUUUAUGCUAUGACCAGUAACUUGACCUAAUCGUGGAAGUUGAUACAGUAUGUAACUAUGGGAUCAAGAUUCUGCACAGUAGAUAAAUCUUAUUUGAAGUUCUUCAAUGUCAUAAUAAAGUAAAAACAAUUUCUUUA